UAAAAACCUUUACGCUCUCAGAGCACCGGGAAAUCGGCGUCAUACUUGCCGUUUCGGGAAAGGGCUAUGGCAAAUAUUCUCAGUGACAGACUGUAGUUCUGAAAAGGGAGGGAUUGCUAUUAAAUCUUCUUAAAUGAAUUAGGAUUAAGCUCAAACCUCCUAAAAAGUAAAAAGUUACGGAGUCCUCCUCUGCAACGACCACACACAGACCGCUGAAGGCUGCUAGACGCUGCCGUGUUUUCAAAACAAACUAAUAAACCAACUUACGGCCAAACUUACGACAGUGUCGAUAAAACGCGAAGGCCAGCAUUCCAGCUGCAAGCACAAUAAUCAUGCAGUUACAGGAAAUUAAUCAGUGACGAGGUGGCGUGAUGAAGCUUUCCAGCUUGCAACAGAAAACCCUCACAGAAAACACACCAUGAUGAUGACAGGAACCAGAAGUGCUACUGCCUCCUUGUGGCCUCUCAGAGAAUUUUUACAGGAACUAAUUUGGCAGAAGAUUUUAUCCAAAGAAGCUCAAAAGGCCACAGGGAGCCUGGAGCUCAUGCCAGGGAUCUUGGGAACAAGGCAUUCUGGACGGGAUGUCAAGACAUCGUAGGGUUCACGCACACACUCGCUCACUCACACACACACAUACACACACACACACACUUUAGAGAUGCCAAAUCAGCCUACAGCGCAUGUCUUUGAACUGGGGGAGUAAACAGAGUACCCAGAGGAAACCCCUGAAGCAGGGAGAACAUGUGAACCCCUAACCCUGGAGGUGUGAGACAAAUUUACAGAAUUUACUGCUGACAAACUCGCUUUAUUCUUCUACACCAACAAAACUCUUAAUAUAAGUUUUUUUUCUUUUAUUAUUAUUUUUUUUAAAGAGAUACAUCAGCUCAUUAUAGGUUCAAAAAUGCAGUACAACUAAAAUGCUGAACAAGACCAUCUUUAAAAAAUGUCACAAAACACUGACAAUAUAUCCUGACAUUUUGUAACAAGUAAAACAUAUAGAAAGUAAACAUAUAAAGAAGAAAUAUUGCC
ensembl:lncRNA